AAUCAAAAAUUAAAUGCUAGAAGCGAUUUUAGCGACCAUCAGUUUGCUUACGCAUACGCGUAAAUAAAUUUUUGAUCUGUUCAUAAUGUCUUUUCUCAAUGGGGCAAUAUGAGCAUAAAUACAGUUGAGAAAUUAAUAAGGAAGCCGAUUAGCUCCUUAUCGAAUUUAUAAUCUUGGUUUUAUUUAUUCCCUUCUAUUGGAAAAGAAUAAAGCGACUCUUAAAAGUAGAAUAAGCUUGUAGAGGUUUUUAAAAUGUUUUCUUGGACUCCGGUUCACUGCCGGACAUCUCCACCG
rnacentral:tmRNA from 1 species